rnacentral:rRNA from 1 species
UUCGUAGGCGGUGCGGCAAGUUGGGAGUGAAAUCUCUGGGCUCAACCCAGAGGCUGCUUCCAAAACUGCUGUGCUUGAGUGUGGGAGAGGUGCGUGGAAUUGCAGGUGUAGCGGUGAAAUGCGUAGAUAUCUGCAGGAACACCCGUGGCGAAAGCGGCGCACUGGACCACAACUGACGCUGAGGAACGAAAGCUAGGGGAGCAAACAGGAUUAGAUACCCUGGUAGUCCUAGCCCUAAACGAUCAGGACUUGGGGUGCCACCCGUUCGGGUGUCGUCCCGGAGCUAACGCGUUAAGUCCUGCACCUGGGGAGUACGGUCGCAAGACUGAA